CUACGGGGGGCAGCAGUUAGGUAUAAUCUACAAUGCGCGAAAGCGUGAUAGUUUGAGCCAGAGUGCUUUGCAAUUGCAAAGCUUUUGCCGAAUGUAAAAAGUUCGGCGAAUAAGGACUGGGUAAGACGAGUGCCAGCCGCCGCGGUAAUACUCGCGGUCCAAGUCGCAGCCAUUUUUAUUGGGUCUAAAACAUCCGUAGCUUGUUUUGUAAGUUUCUUGUGAAAUUUUAUGUCUUGAGCAUAGAGCGCGCAAGAAGUACUGCAGAACUAGAGACCGGAAGACGUAAGGAGUACGUUCAAAGUAGUGGUAAAAUGUGUUAAUCUUGGACGGACUUACAAGCGCGAAGGCACCUUACGAGGACGGUUCUGACAGUAAGGGAUGAAGGCUAGGGGCGCAAAACGGAUUAGAUACCCGCGUAGUC
rnacentral:rRNA from 1 species